UACUUUUGUUUUUGUUGUUUUUU
rnacentral:sRNA from 1 species